rnacentral:rRNA from 1 species
GACGGGGCCCGCACAAGCGGUGAGCAUGUGGUUUAAUUCGACGCACGCGAAGAACCUUACCAGGGCUUGACAUCCCCUGACCGCGUAUGAAAGUACGUUUUCACCCUCGGGUGACAGGGAGACAGGUGGUGCAUGGUUGUCGUCAGCUCGUGUCGUGAGAUGUUGGGUUAAGUCCCGCAACGAGCGCAACCCCUACGUUUAGUUGCUAACGCGUGAAGGCGAGCACUCUAGACGAACUGCCGUUGACAAAACGGAGGAAGGUGGGAUGACGUCAAAUCAUCAUGCCCCUUAUGUUCUGGGCUACACACGUGCUACAAUGGCCGGUACAGACGGACGCAAAGCCGCGAGGUGGAGCAAAUCCUAAAAAGCCGGUCUCAGUUCGGAUUGCAGGCUGCAAUUCGCCUGCAUGAAGUCGGAAUCGCUAGUAAUCGCAGGUCAGCAUACUGCGGUGAAUACGUUCCCGGGCCUU